rnacentral:rRNA from 1 species
UACGAAGGGGGCUAGCGUUGUUCGGAAUUACUGGGCGUAAAGCGUAUGCAGGCGGACUUUUAAGUCGGGGGUGAAAUCCCGAGGCUCAACCUCGGAACUGCCUUCGAUACUGGAAGUCUUGAGUUCGGGAGAGGUGAGUGGAAUGCCGAGUGUAGAGGUGAAAUUCGUAGAUAUUCGGCGGAACACCAGUGGCGAAGGCGACUCACUGGCCCGAUACUGACGCUGAGGUGCGAAAGCGUGGGGAGCAAACAGG